AAGAAUAUACUUUCAGGGAUCAUUUCUAUAGUUUGUUACUAGAGAAGUUUCUCCAAAUGUGUAGAGCACCCAAAACCACAGGAAGAGGCGCAGUGUUCUCUCCUGAGCAUGAAGCUGGUUCUUGGUGUCGCUUGUGUGACUGCCAUUUGCCACUGAUGAUCGUUCUUCUCUUCCUUUGGUGAGAGUAAGAGGGAGAGGACGCCAUCUGAGUGGU
ensembl:snoRNA U3 Small nucleolar RNA U3